GCCAGCGUGGUGUAGUGGUCUGAGCGUUGGACGAGGACUCUGGAGACCAAGGUUCGAAUCCCAGCAUGGGCA